rnacentral:lncRNA from 1 species
UUUGGUAUUUGUAAAACAUCAGAGAGAACAUCAAUUCUAGACUGAGAAGGAUGUCCUAAGCGAGUAUGCCACAAAUGAGAACUAACAGCAGAGACAGAAAAAGAUAAAGGAUGUAAAGAAGAAGCAAUGCUACCUUGAAUUUUAAAACUUGUAUGUGUUUCAUCAGACUGAAGAAUAUAAAGAUUGGACACUUCACUACCUUUCCCAAGC